UACGUAGGGGCUAGCGUUAUCCGGAAUUACUGGGCGUAAAGGGUGCGUAGGUGGUUUCUUAAGUCAGAGGUGAAAGGCUACGGCUCAACCGUAGUAAGCCUUUGAAACUGGGAAACUUGAGUGCAGGAGAGGAGAGUGGAAUUCCUAGUGUAGCGGUGAAAUGCGUAGAUAUUAGGAGGAACACCAGUUGCGAAGGCGGCUCGCUGGACAACACGUGACGCUGAGGCGCGAAAGUGUGGGGAGCAAAUCGGAUUAGAUACCCGGGUAGUCCCUGAGCGGG
rnacentral:rRNA from 1 species